CCAGCCUUCUACACAGGCAGGACAGUGACAUUCCCUCGCCAAGGAGUGCCGAGUGUCCAUCGAUGGCAGCCGGCCAGUAGUGACAGAGGGCCAUCCACGCUCCCUUCCAUCUGGCCUCCCCUCGCCCACUCUGGUGACUGGUGAGCGGCCUGUGAUUUAUCAAGCCGCGCGCCCCACUUGGGAGCAAUGGACGAAUCGGGGACAGCAAAGGAAGCCGGGAAAUACAGCCAACAGGCUUGAGGGCAUUAUAAGUAAUCGAGGUGACUUAAAAUAUGGAGAAGAUGGGCAUGAAUUGCAAGCAAACUCUGCACCGUGGAAAAAGAAAACCUGCGCUGUGAUUUCUACUACUGGGGAAAUUGCUCCAAUUCAAACUGAAUUUUAAGUCUUUCAACAGUUUCCACCAAGCAAACACCUGGAGGCCAGCAGCUGCUGAGCCCUGCCUGUGGGCACAGCC